CUGGAAAAAUGGUGGAUAUGUAAAGGUUA
rnacentral:piRNA from 1 species